rnacentral:rRNA from 1 species
AGCGCAGGCGGGAAGACAAGUUGGAAGUGAAAUCUAUGGGCUCAACCCAUAAACUGCUUUCAAAACUGUUUUUCUUGAGUAGUGCAGAGGUAGAUGGAAUUCCCGGUGUAGCGGUGGAAUGCGUAGAUAUCGGGAGGAACACCAGUGGCGAAGGCGGUCUACUGGGCACCAACUGACGCUGAGGCUCGAAAGCAUGGGUAGCAAACA